CCUGGCGGCUCUAGCGCGGUGGUCCCACCUGACCCCAUGCCGAACUCAGAAGUGAAACGCCGUAGCGCCGAUGGUAGUGUGGGGUCUCCCCAUGUGAGAGUAGGGAACUGCCAGGC
rnacentral:rRNA from 1 species